rnacentral:rRNA from 1 species
CCUACGGGAGGCAGCAGUGGGGAAUAUUGGACAAUGGGGGGAACCCUGAUCCAGCCAUGCCGCGUGUGUGAAGAAGGCCCUCGGGUUGUAAAGCACUUUCAGUGAGGAAGAAGGCCUGGUGGUUAAUACCCAUCAGGAAAGACAUCACUCACAGAAGAAGCACCGGCUAACUCCGUGCCAGCAGCCGCGGUAAUACGGAGGGUGCGAGCGUUAAUCGGAAUUACUGGGCGUAAAGCGCGCGUAGGUGGCUUGAUAAGCCGGUUGUGAAAGCCCCGGGCUCAACCUGGGAACGGCAUCCGGAACUGUCAAGCUAGAGUGCAGGAGAGGAAGGUAGAAUUCCCGGUGUAGCGGUGAAAUGCGUAGAGAUCGGGAGGAAUACCAGUGGCGAAGGCGGCCUUCUGGACUGACACUGACACUGAGGUGCGAAAGCGUGGGUAGCAAACAGGAUUAGAUACCCUUGUAGUC